UUCACAGAGACUCCAGCCCAGCCACGUGGUUGAAGAAAAUUUAUAGACAAAACAAAAAGGAAAUUACAUAACAGAAAUUGGAAGUGAGGUACAGAACAGCUGGAUUGGUUACAGCUCGUCAUUCACUUUAUUUGAACACAGUUUGAACACUCAGCAGUGUAUGCGUGGUUGAAAUACGGCUGCUGGGAUUGACCAAAACUCAGCUAUUGUUACAGGCACAUACUCCUAAGUCAGGCUUUCAAUCUUGUCUACCUAUUAAGCUACGUUGCAGUUCGUCCACAGGACUCCAAUAUAGAAGUAUGGAGUCCUUCUCA
rnacentral:lncRNA from 10 species